UGGCGUUAAUGGCAGCGUAGUUAUUGAGAAGGUCCUUGCCAUUGACAACUCCAGGUAUGGUUACAAUGCCGCUACUGGAAAGUACGAGGAUUUGAUGGCUGCUGGUAUUAUUGAUCCAACCAAGGUGGUGAGGUGUUGCUUGGAGCAUGCUGCAUCGGUGGCAAAAACUUUCAUCACCUCUGACGCUGUUGUCGUCGACAUAAGGGUGCGUAAGUGCACUCCUGUUGUGAACCCGAUGUGCGGUUCAGGUAUAUGGAGACAAUCUGCUCAUCAUCGUCUGCUAUUUCUUACUCAGGAAUCAAUAUG